rnacentral:rRNA from 1 species
UACGUAGGGACCAAGCGUUGUUCGGAUUUACUGGGCGUAAAGGGCGCGUAGGCGGCAUGACAAGUCACUUGUGAAAUCUCCGGGCUUAACUCGGAACGGUCAAGUGAUACUGUCGCGCUAGAGUGCGGAAGGGGCAAUCAGAAUUCUUGGUGUAGCGGUGAAAUGCGUAGAUAUCAAGAGGAAUACCUGAGGUGAAGACGGGUUGCUAGGCCGACACUGACGCUGAAGCGACG